UUUGUUGUUCUGCGUUUAAUUAGUUGGCAGAAUGCUGGAAUUCUCAUGUGAAUUUUCUGUUUUAAGGUGUUUCCAAUUGAGUACCAGAUAAUGGUAAUGUUUUGUGAAACUUGAUACAUGAUUAUCACCCAGGUUGAAUUGUGAAUUGAAACUGUUUGUUUUCUGCUGUCUAGUUUGUUUCAAAGCUAUAUCAUGCUAUGUAGUAUCAAGCAAUCAGGUUCCUUUUGGCACAAUCUUCUUAAUUGUGAAUCAUUUUACUCCUUUACACCUUAGGUUUGGAGAAAUAUUUAUUGUUUUUCUUGAUAUUUCUACGAUGAUUUGUCGCGGCAUAAUUUUUCUACACAUGUAUCAUCUGGUGUUCACAGGGUAUGUCUUACAAGAGAUUAGUGUGCAAAAGACAUCUCCUUUCUCAAUAACACUGCACCUAGUUAAUUUUGGUCUGCGAAGGGGAGAAAUAGGAGAUAAGUGCCUUUUCCCUUUGUACUACUAAUCUUCUGUCAACCAAUUUACAUGUAUCAACCAGUUAUGUUGCUAGGCUUAAAGGAUAUCCUGUUAAUAACAGUGGCCCAAGCACUUCUCUUUAUUAGGAGGAAUCUGAAAUUGUCUGUUCAUAUGGAAACACAACGACCUUGAAAUUUGAUGCAAAUUUGUUUUCAUGAAUCAUCAUCUCUACAGGCUGUGUCGUAUACUCUCUACUGUCACUAGGGUAUAGUUUGGUCAUCUCUACUGAGGCUCUUUACAUUUCAGGCUUUGUUUGAUAAUAAUCAGUAUCUACUUUUGGCUAUUUCUUUGAGUUUUCUAUGUGGGUUUGACACGGGAUAUUUGUGGCAGGCAGAGAGCUGAAGUAUGGUUAUUAUCAGAGAGAUGAAGAUUGGUUAUUAUUGGAGAAUGGGUUUAGAUAAUCCACAUUUUUUCCAUGAGUCAUUCUUUAUUUUAAAUUUUGUGCUUUUGAGUACAUGACAUAUAAAAUUUUGUGCUUUGAGUACAUGACAUAUAAAUUGAACUUGAGCUUGCUUUUUUUUGACCAAUGAAUUUGCUUUUUCUGCCGUUUGGUUUGUCAAAAUAAUAACUUUGAUUUGCUGUUGCC
rnacentral:lncRNA from 1 species